rnacentral:rRNA from 1 species
UUCAGAUUGAACGCUGGCGGCAGGCCUAACACAUGCAAGUCGAACGGUAACAGGAAACAGCUUGCUGUUUCGCUGACGAGUGGCGGACGGGUGAGUAAUGUCUGGGAAACUGCCUGAUGGAGGGGGAUAACUACUGGAAACGGUAGCUAAUACCGCAUAACGUCGCAAGACCAAAGAGGGGGACCUUCGGGCCUCUUGCCAUCGGAUGUGCCCAGAUGGGAUUAGCUUGUUGGUGGGGUAACGGCUCACCAAGGCGACGAUCCCUAGCUGGUCUGAGAGGAUGACCAGCCACACUGGAACUGAGACACGGUCCAGACUCCUACGGGAGGCAGCAGUGGGGAAUAUUGCACAAUGGGCGCAAGCCUGAUGCAGCCAUGCCGCGUGUAUGAAGAAGGCCUUCGGGUUGUAAAGUACUUUCAGCGGGGAGGAAGGGAGUAAAGUUAAUACCUUUGCUCAUUGACGUUACCCGCAGAAGAAGCACCGGCUAACUCCGUGCCAGCAGCCGCGGUAAUACGGAGGGUGCAAGCGUUAAUCGGAAUUACUGGGCGUAAAGCGCACGCAGGCGGUUUGUUAAGUCAGAUGUGAAAUCCCCGGGCUCAACCUGGGAACUGCAUCUGAUACUGGCAAGCUUGAGUCUCGUAGAGGGGGGUAGAAUUCCAGGUGUAGCGGUGAAAUGCGUAGAGAUCUGGAGGAAUACCGGUGGGCGAAGGCGGCCCCCUGGACGAAGACUGACGCUCAGGUGCGAAAGCGUGGGGAGCAAACAGGAUUAGAUACCCUGGUAGUUCACGCCGUAAACGAUGUCGACUUGGAGGUUGUGCCCUUGAGGCGUGGCUUCCGGAGCUAACGCGUUAAGUCGACCGCCUGGGGAGUACGGCCGCAAGGUUAAAACUCAAAUGAAUUGACGGGGGCCCGCACAAGCGGUGGAGCAUGUGGUUUAAUUCGAUGCAACGCGAAGAACCUUACCUGGUCUUGACAUCCACAGAACUUUCCAGAGAUGGAUUGGUGCCUUCGGGAACUGUGAGACAGGUGCUGCAUGGCUGUCGUCAGCUCGUGUUGUGAAAUGUUGGGUUAAGCCCCGCAACGAGCGCAACCCUUAUCCUUUGUUGCCAGCGGUCCGGCCGGGAACUCAAAGGAGACUGCCAGUGAUAAACUGGAGGAAGGUGGGGAUGACGUCAAGUCAUCAUGGCCCUUACGACCAGGGCUACACACGUGCUACAAUGGCGCAUACAAAGAGAAGCGACCUCGCGAGAGCAAGCGGACCUCAUAAAGUGCGUCGUAGUCCGGAUUGGAGUCUGCAACUCGACUCCAUGAAGUCGGAAUCGCUAGUAAUCGUGGAUCAGAAUGCCACGGUGAAUACGUUCCCGGGCCUUGUACACACCGCCCGUCACACCAUGGGAGUGGGUUGCAAAAGAAGUAGGUAGCUUAACCUUCGGGAGGGCGCUUACCACUUUG